GACGUAGGGCGCGAGCGUUGUCCGGAAUUAUUGGGCGUAAAGAGCUCGUAGGCGGCUUGUUGCGUCGACUGUGAAAACCCGCGGCUCAACCGUGUGGCUUGCAGUCGAUACGGGCAGGCUAGAGUUCGGUAGGGGGAGACUGGAAUUCCUGGUGUAGCGGUGAAAUGCGCAGAUAUCAGGAGGAACACCGGUGGCGAAGGCGGGUCUCUGGGGCCGAUACUGACGUGAGGAGCGAAAGCGUGGGGAGCGAACAGG
rnacentral:rRNA from 1 species